UAAACGACUCUCGGCAACGGAUAUCUCGGCUCUCGCAUCGAUGAAGAACGUAGCGAAAUGCGAUACUUGGUGUGAAUUGCAGAAUCCCGCGAACCAUCGAGUCUUUGAACGCAAGUUGCGCCCGAAGCCAUCAGGUUGAGGGCACGUCUGCCUGGGCGUCUCAC
rnacentral:rRNA from 1 species